rnacentral:rRNA from 1 species
UACGGGGGGGGCAAGCGUUGUUCGGAAUUACUGGGCGUAAAGGGCUCGUAGGUGGCCAACUAAGUCAGACGUGAAAUCCCUCGGCUUAACCGGGGAACUGCGUCUGAUACUGGAUGGCUUGAGUUUGGGAGAGGGACGCGGAAUUCCAGGUGUAGCGGUGAAAUGCGUAGAUAUCAGGAAGAACACCCGUGGCUAAGGCGGCUCUCUAGUACGGUACUGACGCUGAGACGCGAAAGCGUGGGGAGCGAACAGG